rnacentral:lncRNA from 1 species
ACCCUGGCCAGCUCCCUGGAGUCCACUGGCCUGGGUUUUGAUCUGGUGGCUGAAGCUCCUCUUUCAUGCGCGCAAUAGGGAUACAAACGACUUAAUACCCAUGAGAAAUUAAGCCAAGCCGCUAGCUUCUUUUCCGGGGAACAUGAGAAUCCACUUUCUGGAUCUUGCUCCUAUAGAACAGUCACUUUUGGGCAGAUUCAGGACAGGAGGUCAGGAAUUUGUGACUCCAUUUUCCUGUGUCUUCUCUACACAAAUCUCUGCCGUCGGGCUUAUUUCUCCACUUCUGGGACAUGAUCACUGUCAAGUGCCCAUCUUUCUCUCAGGACAUCUGCAAAGAUCAAAGAGAAUGAUAGCUAUAAAGCUCCUGACAAGAACCUGGCUUGCUCACUUAGAAACAUUUUUUUUUCUUUUCUUUUUUCCCCCGUUUUGUUGCCUUUGAAACAAGGUCUUGCAACAUAGCUUUGACUGCCCUUAAACUUAGGAUCCUCCUGCCCCAGGCUCCCAAAUGCUGGGAUUAUAGAUGGGAGGCAUUGCAGUUAGCUCAUCUGAAAACUUCUAAAACUCCAGGCUACACCCCAGUUACUACAGAGCUUCCAGGUAGAGUGCAGGCCCCUGUCAAGUGGGUCUAGUGUUGGAACUAGAGGUAAGAACACAGCACAGCUUCACGGCUCUACCCAGAUUCAGUUCUGUGGACCAGUGGCAUUGGUAGGAGGGGCAUGGGAGAAAGAUGGCUCAGGUGUGGUUAGAGCCUAGAAACAGAGUUCUCAGUUUAUUGGCUAGUUAAACUUGGGUUCUUAGCCUUCCAAAUGUUGUUACAGGUGUGUACUGUUGUGCGUCACCCAGCAUAGUAUUACUGACUGAUGGGUUUUCUGUCUUUCUGUCUUUCUUUCUUUCUUUCUUUUUUUUUUUUUAUGGACAAGGUUUCAUUCUGCAUUCUUGACUGUCCUAGAACUCACUCUAUAGACCUUGAACUCACAGAGAUCCACAUGUCUUAGACUCUCAAGUGCUAUAUUUAAAGGCUUGAAUUUUUAAAGAAAAAUCUUUACACCUUAGCUAAACAUGGAUAAAAAAUUCCCUUUACCAACCUUUACACUGUUCCUCUGAGCAUUUUCCAGUCUAGGUCUGUAAAAGCUGUAUAUCUAAGAUGACCCUCACCUCCCUUAAAAUCCCUACCUGAAAUGCUCAGGCCUGCCAAAGAACUGACUGUUCUGGCCCACAUCUGGGAUUAGGGCCUCUGGCUCCAAGUCUUCUUCAGAGGGUGGACUUGACUGAUCGCUGCAGGCUCACAGUGCACAUAGUAGCCAGUCUUGUUUACACCAACCACACCUUUAAAAUUUCUUCCUCCCAGACCAUGUAUAAGCCCUUCCUAUCCUUCUCCCUCUGCCCUCAUGCUUUCUGUAAACAUCCAGGUUCUUUUAUGCAAGUAGAAGUUGAAAUCUCUUCAUAUGGAACUCUUGGCAAAAUUUUUUACUGACCAAAAUCUGUCCUCACCAGUUCUAUAAGUGUUAGCUUUGUUUCUCUUGUUUUUGUUUGUCUUUCAGUUCCAAGAAUAACAAUGAACACUCUGAUCCUCCUGCUUCCACAUCUGUCUUUGACAAUGACUUUGAUGACUUGAUCUGUCUAGAAUUUUACCUAUGAGGAUUUGAGGCUGCACAUCUCUUAUCAGUUACAUGUUUAUCUUCAUGGUUGCUAUCCCUUCCCCAAAUCUUUAUUGCAGAUGGCGUUGGUUUCCCAGUCUCAGUGAACAAUGUUUCCUUAGAGAUAAUAAACAUGAUAGUACUGACUUGUGAGU